rnacentral:rRNA from 1 species
GUUGAACGCUGGCGGCAUGCUUUACACAUGCAAGUCGAACGGCAGCGCGGGGCAACCUGGCGGCGAGUGGCGAACGGGUGAGUAAUAUAUCGGAACGUAUCCAAGAGGUGGGGGAUAACGUAGCGAAAGUUACGCUAAUACCGCAUACGAUCUCAGGAUGAAAGCAGGGGACCGCAAGGCCUUGUGCUCCUGGAGCGGCCGAUAUCUGAUUAGCUAGUUGGUGAGGUAAAGGCUCACCAAGGCGACGAUCAGUAGCUGGUCUGAGAGGACGACCAGCCACACUGGGACUGAGACACGGCCUAG